rnacentral:rRNA from 1 species
UGAGGAAUAUUGGUCAAUGGGCGAGAGCCUGAACCAGCCAAGUAGCGUGCAGGAUGACGGCCCUAUGGGUUGUAAACUGCUUUUAUAUGGGAAUAAAGUGAGGGACGUGUCCCUUAUUGCAUGUACAAUACGAAUAAGGACCGGCUAAUUCCGUGCCAGCAGCCGCGGUAAUACGGAAGGUCCAGGCGUUAUCCGGAUUUAUUGGGUUUAAAGGGAGCGUAGGCUGUUUGUUAAGCGUGUUGUGAAAUGUAGGAGCUCAACUUUUAGAUUGCAGCGCGAACUGGCAGACUUGAGUGCGCACAACGUAGGCGGAAUUCAUGGUGUAGCGGUGAAAUGCUUAGAUAUCAUGACGAACUCCGAUUGCGAAGGCAGCUUACGGGAGCGCAACUGACGCUAAAGCUCGAAGGUGCGGGUAUCGAACAGG